rnacentral:lncRNA from 1 species
AAGACAGAAAUUUUACUGAAUCUUCUGAAAUGGAGAUAUCCUACAUCCAAUGACUUUGGAUCUGAAAUCAUUCCAGCAGCUGUAGGGGAACACAAUGUCCAAGUAAGAGAAUUUCCACUAAAUAUAUUUCCUUUUCAAAUGUUUUCAACAAUUCUAGGAGUUAUAUCUUCCAUUUUACUAGGAAAUAAUUCAUAUGACAAGUUUACGAUACAAGUUGAAUGUCUAAUGCUUUUUUGCAGGCGUAUUUUUUCAGAGACUACUGGGAAGACAUUGGAACAAUUAAGUCCUUUUAUGAUGCUAACUUGGCUCUUACUGAAGAGGUAGAUUCAAGAUAUUUGCUUUUACAAUGAAACUCAGCUCAAAUAGCUGCUUAAAUGUAGCAAAUUGUCAAUGUCCUGAAACUAAUAUCUGCUUUAUGUUCUUUUCUUGCAGAAUCCAAUGUUCAAAUUUUAUGAUCCUAAGACACCCAUUUUCACAUCUCCUAGAUUCCUACCACCAACAAAGAUUGAUAAAUGUCGGGUGUGUAUGAUUAUGACUGAUCAUCUAUCUUAAAUGUUUGCUGGUAACUUCAUGAUAUGCCUUGCUUAUGGUCAUAUUUUGAGUUGCUCUUAUAGAUUGUGGAUGCAAUAAUCUCCCAUGGAUGUUUCCUGCGAGAAUGUACUGUCCAACAUUCUAUCGUCGGUGAACGUUCUCGGUUGGAUUACGGUGUCGAGCUUCAGGUAAGUAACAAUAACUUGUAGACUAAAAACACUAGAUCAAUCCAUUUAAGAUUCCUUUUGUGCCAUCUAAAAUCAACUUUUACAGGACACUGUAAUGAUGGGAGCAGACUAUUACCAAACUGAACCCGAAAUUGCUUCUCUGCUGGCAGAGGGGAAGGUUCCCAUUGGGAUUGGACGUAAUACCAAAAUCAAGUAAUCUUACUAAAAGUUACUACAUCAUAAGUGUAACAAACUAACAAUACAUAUUCUGUCUAUGUAUAAAGAAUUUAGCUUGACAUGUUAGUGAACUGAUAUUGUUAUUUGUCUCUGUUGAAGGAACUCCAUAAUUGACAAGAAUGCUAAGAUUGGGAAAGAUGUCAUCAUAAUGAACAAAGAUGUGAGCAUGUGUACCCCUUCUCAUCUUGUUUUUACAUUUGAACCAAUUUUAUCAGUUAUUAGUCUGCACUUCAUACUAUCUCUCUUACCAAUUCAUAUGGAAAUCUGUAGGGUGUUCAAGAAGCAGAUAGACCAGAUGAUGGAUUUUACAUUCGAUCGGGAAUCACCAUCAUAAUGGAGAAGGCAACUAUAGAAGACGGCACUGUCAUAUAAAUGAUCCAUACGUGGUUUCAAGAGCUGGUUGGUUGCCAAGAAUAGCUGGAAGAUUGAAGAAGCAUUCUAAAGAACACUCCAUCUUUGGGAACACAAGGGUAGCAGUGGCAACACUAAGUCUAACUGAGAAAGAAGCUGCACCCUUUUUGCUAUGCAUGUAAAAUAGAAGUUCUUCCACUAUGUGUAAAAUUAGAAUGAAUAAAACAUGAAUUAAGAUGCAAAAAAGCAAAUAAAAUGAAAAAUUGAGGGUGAACUCUCAAGCUGCUUUCUACCAAUAUCAAGAGCAUUACUAUUACUAGUGAUAAUGAAUUUCACUACUCUCUUAACACAACUAUACAAUGAUAGAUAGUUGUUUGUCUCAACAAAAUUGAAGGUCAAAAUACAUAAAUACAUUUAGCAGCCAUUGAACAAAAUAGAAGUGAUGGGAAUGCAAAUAAACUAGCAGGUACAUCAAGAGCAGAGGGUAAUCAUGUAUGAUGGGGGUUAUAGUUUUGACAUGUACAACUUCUGGCUUUAAGCCCAAGUUCUUGGUGAGGGCAUGUUAUGUGAGAGACAUAGUCUUAGAGAGGUGCAACAGCAAAAGCUUAUCCUCCCAAAUGGUAAAUGGUUUGAGACUCCACAGGGGAACAUGGAUUUGAAUCCUGCUAGGCUAGUUAUUUUAGAGACAGAUUUUGAUGAGUGUGGUGGACCAUUGAAGUUAAGCUUUCCCUAAAGGCUACUGAUGAUGGUUCUUCUAUGAUUCAUUGUCAUCAUUCUGCCUCCUAUCUUUAGUUUUAGAAUAAAAAUAUGGGGACAACAAAGGAAGAGAUGCAAUUCAUAUCCUGUACGAGAAGGAUAUUGAUGCAAAUGCCAUUCUCAUUUAGCACGUCAUAUUUUCUAGGAAUAUGAAAAGGGUGAAUGACUUUUUCUAUCCUGGACCAGAUUCCUCAGAUUGAGCAAACCUGUUCCCAUCUUUUCUUUCCUUUACCUUUAUUCCUACUUCUAUGUUUUUUUCUUUGGGGAUAGGUGUUUAUUUGGAUCGGCUUUUUCACUAUAAACUCCUCUUUCCCUGCCAAAAAACCGCUACGCUUUUAAGUUUGAACAUGAAGGGUCCAUGGAAGCAACAUAUUACUGAUAUUGUCUCCAAUCUUUAUUGGUUUAUACUUUCAUUAAGAACUGAUAAACUUGGUUUUAGACCUUGAGAAACACACAUGUUUGAACUUUGAAGUUUCAAUUAGGAUAAAAGCUGGUUUUACUAGACUUCAAACUCUUUCCACAAUCAUAAUCUUUUCAUGUGAAUGAUUAACCUGAGAAAAAUAUGAUUAGUCACUUUAACCUCGAAAAGUUGCAGAGCUUCACCACAUUUGAGGAAGCUAUUGCUCACGAAUGAAAAACUCAUCCCAAAAGUUCCUAUUAUAUAGAAAACUCAUUCAACAUGAUAUUCUAUCAAACCUUACGACUAAGAGACUAACACUCUUAAUGUAUGCAUAGCUGGUUAAUCUGACACUGGUGAUGAGACAAGAUACAAGCCCCCCACCUUGGAUGAAAACGGGUUACUACAUACAUAUACAUACAUAAAAAGCAUGCUCCUAUACCACACGUACUAUCUUUAGAUGCAUGCACAUCUUACUUUUUGUUUCAAUUAAUCCAAACCUGAGGAGAACAAGGUAGCAUGAUAAGCAACAUGUUCAAGAUGAUAGUGGCAUAUAGGAUGAUCAUUUCUCACUUUUCUGUAUGACUUCUUCAAGUACAGAGUAAGCAGCCUUAUCUCAUGUAACCCUCUCAAAGUAACCCCAUAGAUCUCCCACCAUAAACUUCACAAGAAAUUUAUAUCACCGAUGGCAAAUAAUUUCAAAAUCCCUUCAUAUUCCAAACUACCACAGGUCCCUUUUUCAUAAGCUCGGAGGGAUUCAAACAGUUCAUUGCCUUUCCCAUCAUUGCCAUAGCAGCAAUACUUGGAAACUGUUUCUUUUGGAACUCUUCUGGAGUGUUUGAAAACUUCGGUUCACGAAACUCUGUUAAUGCAUGCUUCUUUUGGGGAGAUAUAUCAUGAUUAUGACACCACCUCCUGAUCCAUGGAUGUGAAAGCGUAAUUUCUGCAGUUUUGUUCUCUUCAGUGGAAGAGGAUUUGCCAUUUGUUAAUACUGUUGCACAUAGGUCUGGCACCAUCCGCUCUUCAGUAUGACAUGCCAUUUUCGGUUCCAGUCUAGUUUUGCUACCUUUCAUUUUGAUGAAAGUAUUGUUUACUUUUGCAUGCAAAGAAGUUUCUCCGAUUGUUGCACUCUUGGUACCAUGAGCAGAUCUUGGUGAGCAUAACUUGAGUCGUUUUACCCAUCUGCUGCUAGGAUCUGGUCCCAAAGAACUAUUUCCAGAUUUUGACAUUUCAUUCUCAUCUGCGUGAGAAAGGAGGUGCUCCACGUCGAGGCUGCGGGUUCUUGAUGUGCUGUUCUCCCUGUCAGCCACUGGACUAGCCAGAGCUACCGGUCUACCUUUCUUUUUCUCUCCAACUGAAGUAAUUGCAACUUGAGAUGUGGGCGAGUUUUGGCUAUCCUCGAAGCACUACAAAAUUCAAAUUUUGAUCAACGUCACCCGGUUAACACCUCAAAGUUUAAAAUAGUAUCAGAAUGAACCAUACACAACAAUAUGAUUGCUAACUAGCAUAAGCAAAGGGUCAUGUUAACCAGGGGUUUCUUAAGUAAGCAAGUAAAAAUGUAUCUUCCUUUUGAUGUUAUCUCGCUUUAGGUAAACCUUUGCCAACCAUUUAAAUGACUAACCAAAAAACUGGUGAUAAAAAAUAAAAUGGCAUGGUAUCAAGAAGAUGAAGCACCAGACAGAUUACCUUAUUUGUUCGCAGUGGAACAAUACCUGCAUCAAACAAGAGCGAGUUUCAGAUAUUCAGCUAGAAAACAACAUCAAAACUAUGAAACUUGCAGACAACAACAAAGAUUAAAAUUAAACUUGGUUGAAAAUAUGGAGAACAGGACAUUAUGCUGUUUAAUACUAAAAACCAGAAUAUCUGGGAGGUUUUUAUAAUACAAGUCUUCAAGAAUAGCAUGAAAUGGGAUGUCCCAUAAAUGCGUGCGUACAUACCAGAAAGAUGAUUCUCACGUAAAGCGUCAAUGUCCAUAGUAUCAGUUUCAGCAGAUGAUUCAUUCUUCUGGCUUGUUGGACUAUUGAGAUCUUGGACAUUUUCCUCUCCUUCACUCUUCUUGGAGCUCCCUCGAGCUACCAGCUUCGCACCUUCAAAAUCACGGUCACUAGUAGAUGGAGAGGAAUCAAUCAUCUCAUUGAAAGAAUUUCCCUUGAAUUUGGUAGGUGAUAUUGACUCUCUAAAGAUCUGACCUUGGUCGGAUAAAUUAACAUCAGUCUUUUUUGACAUCAGAAAAUGGUGAGUUGUCUGGGACAUUUUGGGAUGAUCUCUUGACGACUCUUCUAUUGAAUCUAUACUGGUGUAUAUCUUCAUUGUGUCCGCAUUAGCAGUAGAAUAUCCAUCACCACCGCCUUGAGUCCAUCUUGGAAAGGAAAAUCUUCGAGGAUCAAACAGGUUACUCUUUUUUUUCCCACGGAUGAAAAGGGAAUAGGUAUGGUAUUUAGUAUUUGUGAAAUGCUCUUGAGAUGCUAACUUGUAGCUUGAUUGAUAUAUUUCAUGCUGCUCACAUGUGGAUGUUGGCACCAAGGUUUUUCCCUGGUCCUGUCCAUUUGGAACUUUGCCAGAAGCUGAUUUUACAAAGCUAUUCCAUACUGGUUUUGCAACAGCAAGGUUGUCCUGUUCAACACCGCACCGAGACUUCAUCAACAAAGGUGCCGGUGAAAUUCCUUUAGACAAUAAUUGAUACUCUCUUCCUAAAGUUUCUUUUUGAGGAGCAGCAUGUGCAGAUGUUGAUGGUAAGUGACUCCAAGUUCUAUAACGAGAAACAUUAUCAUCUCCACAUCUGGAUUCAGUUUCAAAUUUCCGAUCUUUCCCCUGGGAAGCACCACUCCAUUUUGAAUCUAAGCUUGCUUUCUUUGAUUUUCCAGGGUCCACCUCAUUGCUGAAGGUAACCCUUGUAUCCCUAUCUGCUUCUCUGGUUGCUCCAGCAUGCACAGAACAAUCUAUAACAAUCUCUGACCGACGAUCACGACGCAAAUCAUGCUUAACCUCACAACGAUUACGAGCUGAAGUUGUCGAUGACUUAUAAUUUGUCUGUGUCCAAUGAGACAUCCACAGGGAUUGGUAACCAUGCAUUACCUGAGCAUCCACACCCUCACCCUCAUGACAUGCAUGUGCAAUAUCAUUAGGCAUAAUGACUAAUUCCCUUUUUUCCACCACACAAACUUAGUUAAGUAUCAUAAGAGUUCAAAACCUGGAUUUUUGAGAUAAAAAAAUUAGCAUCCAUCUUAAAAACCUAACAUGCAGGUACAGAAUAACGAAUAAAAGCAUAUAAUAAGUAUCCAACACUUUCACAUAAAGAAAGUUGAAUCCUAUUCCUACUUGAUAGAGAAACCAGUGGCAAAACAACGAAUAUAGAUCAGUAAAUGUAUGUUUUGGCAUGAAAAUUAAAUAGAAAGAAUUUCAUUGUGAAAUUCAUCAAACAACAAAGUAAACAAUAAUAAAAUUCAUUUGAAGUUACCUUCAAGAUUGAGAGAGAGUGAAAUCGGUGAAAAUGUGAAGCAGGGAAAUAAAAGCAACUCAGAAGAAGUAGCAGUAGAAGAAGAAGAAGAAGAAAUGAAGAGAGAAGAAAAGUGUGUUCCUGCAUGAAAUCAACGGUUCAAAUUCCCGUGAAAGGUGGGUCCCACGCGCAUGGAAUAAAUCUUGGGCGUUGAUACUCUGGUAAUGUAGUUAGCUUAGGAAAAAAGAUCAGCUUAGUUUUGUUGGGUUCAAACUAGUGAGUCAUCAACCACCACAUAAAUCGUGGUCGAGCCGGUGGGACCCACUCAUCUGCACUUUUCUUAGUAUUGGCUGGCUGGUCUUUUUUUGUUUUUUUGUGUAACAAAACUUUUGUAAAGACAUAUAUACAUGAAGACAACCAAUAAAACAUUAUCAACAUAUUAAGAAUUUAAUUUCAGUUAAAAAUUAUUCAUAAAUGAUAGUAUUAAAAAACAUAAAUACACUUAUCUCUAUACAUGACACCACAGAUAUGCUUCCGUGCAAGUUUUUUGUUUGUUUUUUUUCGUUCAUCUUUCUCGUAUGCUUCGAAUUAUGCGACGUGGCCACUGUAAAACCAUAUCUCAUGAAUAAAAUCAUUCAGAUUUGGUUUGAUUUUGUGCUUAUUUCUUUAUAUUGCCUGAUUUUUUUUCGUUUUUUUUCUCAGCUUUUUCCUCUUACCAAACGAGCUGCUACACCUGCAGUGAGUAUUUUGGUUGAUUGAACAAGCAUCACUUUUUGGUGAAUAAAAGGAAACUAUGAAAUAUUUGGUGUGCAUUUUCAGGUUCCACUUGGUGGAUGCUACAGGCUUAUAGAUAUCCCAAUGAGCAACUGCAUCAAUAGUUGCAUUAACAAAAUAUUUGUAUUGACUCAGUUCAAUUCUGCAUCCCUGAACCGUCACAUCUCCCGCACUUAUUUUGGAAAUGGCAUCAACUUUGGGGAUGGAUGUGUAGAGGUAUGUUUCAAGGAAAUGGAUAGAAAUUGUUGGAGGUCAUGCAUCAUAUUGUAGUUGGUUUCUUGCAUCAGAUAUAUUAAUGGGACUUAAAUUUGCCAGUAACAGUGGAGAAAAGAGAAACUCAAGAUCUACACUUCAUAUAGGAUGACAAAAUAUUCAUAAAUUGUGAAAAUAAUAUUUUUAAUCUGGGGACUAAUUCUGUUUAGAUGCUGUGGUUGGUAGACAAGUAUAAGCACUAUAAGGUUCAUGUGUGUUUUGGGAGGAGGGGGUGCCAACAUUUUAUCAAAUUGUGGACCGCAUACCUGACACGGACACAAUAUUGUGGUUGGGGUGACCUCUUCAACCGAAUCAUUUUGUAAUUAUGGCAUGAUAUCUAAUCAAUUGAUGCAGUCACAUUGGGAUGUGGCACAAUCACAUUAUAUUGCAUCGGAUCAUAUUUGACCGCAUCAAAUUAAAAAAGAAGUUAAUAACAAAAAUUUCACGGCAUCACAGUUGCAGUCAGCAUCUCAGCAUCCACAAUGACUGCAACUUAAAACACUGUGUGCCAAGUUUCUAUUCAUGCUAACUAAUUAAGGCACAAAUCCUUAACAGGUUCUAGCAGCUACUCAAACACCAGGAGAAGCUGGAAAGAAUUGGUUCCAAGGAACUGCAGAUGCUGUGAGGCAAUUUACAUGGGUAUUUGAGGUGAGAAAAUGAUCUUUUGCAGUAUGUACCAUAAUGCAUGCCCCUCCCUUUAUUACCUAAAACUUGAAGUUUACAGUAAUAGUUUCAAUGUUGUAGGAUGCCAAGCACACAAAUGUUGAGAAUGUAUUGAUUCUGGCUGGAGACCAUCUAUACCGAAUGGAUUACAUGGACCUUGUGCAGGUAUAUAGCGUAAUUUUUUUGGUAUGUUAAGAUCAUUUCUUCAUUCCAUUUUCCGAAGCUUUUUUUUUACUGAUUAUCUUAUGAUAACAUUAUACAGAGCCAUGUUGACAGAAAUGCAGAUAUCACAGUAUCAUGUGCUGCUGUAGGUGACAGGUAAGAUUGGUUGGUUGCGCAUUUGUUUGUUAUCAUAUGAAUCACUUUGCUGCUGGGAGCGGAAUAGAUUGCUUGAAAGUUGAGACUUAUCAUUAUAACUUCAACUUUAGUACACAGUUUCAUUUCCAAUUGCAUGCUUUUCAGCCGUGCAUCGGAUUAUGGAUUGGUCAAUGUAGAUGGAAGAGGCCGCAUUAUCAACUUUUCAGAGAAACCUAAGGGUGCUGAUCUGAAAGCAAUGGUAAGUCCUAACCUAUUCUGAAUCGAUUAACGCAAGAAAAUGAGAGAAAACAAGAGCAAAGAGAGGUUUGAGGUAACAAAAAAAGGUGUUGAAAGAAUGUAAAGCUGAUAUGCUAAUUGUAUUGAUCAGAUGAAAAUUACCCUGUGCAAAAAUAUUUGUGCUCAUUGACAUUCAAUGAGUCUAGACUGAAAUUUUUCAAAGUUGCAUCUUAUUCUUCUUCCUUAGUUAUGUAAUUUUUCUGCAGACUUGUAGCCUCUAAAAAUGUGAAUAUGUGAUCAUGAUAUAUUUAUGUUCCUGUUGAUUCUCUGCAGCAAGUAGAUACCUCUCUUUUCGGAUUGUCACCCCAAGAUGCAUUGAAGUCACCAUAUAUUGCUUCUAUGGGGGUUUAUGUAUUCAAGACAGAAAUUUUACUGAAUCUUCUGAAAUGGAGAUAUCCUACAUCCAAUGACUUUGGAUCUGAAAUCAUUCCAGCAGCUGUAGGGGAACACAAUGUCCAAGUAAGAGAAUUUCCACUAAAUAUAUUUCCUUUUCAAAUGUUUUCAACAAUUCUAGGAGUUAUAUCUUCCAUUUUACUAGGAAAUAAUUCAUAUGACAAGUUUACGAUACAAGUUGAAUGUCUAAUGCUUUUUUGCAGGCGUAUUUUUUCAGAGACUACUGGGAAGACAUUGGAACAAUUAAGUCCUUUUAUGAUGCUAACUUGGCUCU